UAGGAAUCUGCCUUGAAGCGGGGGACAACCCGAGGAAACUCGGGCUAAUACCGCAUAAUAUCGAGAGAUUAAAGCUGGGGCAACCUGGCACUUCAAGAGGAGCCUGCGUCCGAUUAGCUAGUUGGUAGGGUAAAAGCCUACCAAGGCGAUGAUCGGUAGCUGGUCUGAGAGGAUGAUCAGCCACACGUGGGACUGAGACACGGCCCAGACUCCGUACGGGAGGCAG
rnacentral:rRNA from 1 species